UAGUCUCAUGUUUUUUUUUUUUUUUUUUAAUGGCUUAAGAAUUUUUGAAAAUCCAUAUUUUUUGUUAGAACAAUUUUGCAAAAGAAACACACAUGCAUUUGACCAUUUGUUAAUUUAUAGCAGGGACAUUUCUGAAGGGGGACCAGCCCACUUUCCCAAGAAGGAUAUCACAUCAGCAAGGGAAUUGUCCGUCGGGUGCAUCCUAGACGUCAUCUGGAGAGCCGAGUAGUCUUCUGUGUUCGCCGCUCCUCUCCUGAAUCUGACGUGUUUAUGAAGGACGGGAUACCCCGUGACGAGGCAGGGCUGGGCCGGUGCGCCGGACAGUCCUGUGAGAGAGGCCGGGUACACGCCACGGUCGUCAAUAGGCAGGGCCAUGUCGACGCUCCGAUCGACAGAGACAGAUAAGACCCAGUCUUUCACCGCUUCUAUCUCGUCUGACCGGAGAUAAUUGCUUUCCGGAAGCGGGACCUGCUGUGGGAAAUCUGUCACCAGGAGGUCUGAGUGAUCGAUAGCUCCUCCUCCGUCUUCCAUGGCCUCGAUCACAUCAAGACAAUGAUUCAAAAAGACAAACGCAUCUGUGUUCAUGCCAACUUCCUUUAAAAACAAAAUAAAAAUAACUACCAUAUAAA